CCUACCGGACGCAGCAGUGGGGAAUAUUGCACAAUGGGGGAAACCCUGAUGCAGCGACGCCGCGUGAGUGAUGAAGUAUUUCGGUAUGUAAAGCUCUAUCAGCAGGGAAGAUAAUGACGGUACCUGACUAAGAAGCUCCGGCUAAAUACGUGCCAGCAGCCGCGGUAAUACGUAUGGAGCAAGCGUUAUCCGGAUUUAUUGGGUUUAAAGGGUGCGCAGGCGGCGAGUUAAGUCAGCGGUAAAAUUUCGGGGCUCAACCCCGACGAGCCGUCGAAACUGGCUUGCUAGAGUGGGCGAGAAGUAUG
rnacentral:rRNA from 1 species